AGGAGCUGGAGGAAAGAGAAAGACCGGUACCCCACCUGGAGGACAAGGUGGGCCAUGACACCAUACACUCCCUCUCCAGUUGUAUGCCUUCCUGCCCUACAUGGCUGGACUGGACUUCAACUAGACUGCUACUGUGGUGAGGUCUUUGGUGAUAUUCCACUGGGCCUUCCCUCUGAUGCCCAGAUUUCCUUCAGAAGACUUGCAGUGAAAUCGGUGUCUUACCAAGGACCUGAGGGCUCAACAGUGAGGACACGACAACAAGAGUUGGACCACAUUACCAGGUCUGAGCGCAGUGGCGAGAGAGGAAGUUCCAUGAAGAUGUUGUAAAGUGGGUGAUCAGAGUUAUUCAGGAUGGUUUGUAAUGUCUUUAGUGGGCACCUUUCCACCACCUCCAUGUGUUUCCAGUCUGGUUUCAAUUACAGAGUCAGUUUUCCUCACUAGUUUGUCUAAUCUGUUUGCGCCCUUGUUUCUGAUGCUGCCUACCCAGCAGACUGCAGCAUAGAAAAGCGCACACCACCACAGACUGAUAGGCCUCAAUCUUCAGAAAUCUACUAUCUUAGAGGUGUUCAACAAGAGGUAGCUUUUGUCACUCUACUCAGUGAAAGCCUUUACAAGAUCCCUGUAUUCAGAGUACUGUCCAUUCCUGAUAUAUAUGCGCCACAAUGGCAGCAUCAUCCAAGUAUUUCUGGAUGUGGCAGGACUCAGAGUUGUAUUUGAAAUCUGCUGUAACCAACCUGAUAAACUGUGGCCUUUCUGUCAGGUAGUCUGUAAUCUAGGAAACGAGGAGGAAUCUACUCCCAUCUCUGUCAGCUUGUCUGAGUAUGUUGAGUUGGAUGGUUUUGAAAGCACUUGGGAAAAUAAACAUAGCUGUUACAUAAGCAUCAGAUUCCUCCAGAUGAACAAGCGCACAGUGAAGCAUCAUUCACGCUGAUGUGUUGUUUGUAUGCAGACUGAAGGGGGUCAAGUUCAUCUUUGACCUCAAGUCUCAGUCAGUGUAGAAUCAGCAAUGCAAUGGCCACCAAUCUGUAGUCAGUUAGUUCAGCUGGACAGUUUAUUUUGCCAAGGUAGGUAUCCCAGUAAGAACUUGUUUCACCUGCGUCCGGAGCAUGCGCUGGGCUGUGCAAAUCAUGGACAAACAGUAUCCGUCAUUCUUGAUUUUUAAGUUCACAAACUUCUUAUAAUGAAUAACUACUGAAAUUUCUGAGGUUUUAGCUCUUUGUACAGUAAAGUUAUAUCAAGAAACAAAUAAUUAUCAGGCAAACUGUCGUCUGUUUGUUGAAAUAAUCCCAUCCAAUAACACUUGAGAACAGUGAAGGUAUCAUUUCUGUUGUAACCCACAAACUG